UACACGCUAAUUGACUUCCCUCUCAGCCAAGUACAGAUUUCAUUACUGUUUGGAUCCAGUUCUUCACUUGCAGGAACACAAAGAAGAUCACAGGUUUACUUCCCUGAUGCUGAAGUCAAGACAGGAUUUCUUCCUCACCCUUUCAACCCGUGGCCGGAUGUGUGAGUUGCUGUCGGCUUAAUCAACGAAUUUGAAAGCUGGACGUGGGGUGAAGUGCUCUUCAAGUGACUUCCCCAGGGUUGCACAUAUACUGCAACUUUGUUCUCCCCCUCCUGAGACCUCAGAUAAAUCAAUUCAUCGGGUGAUCAGAGUUUGAAGGUGUGUGCCGGGGUGGAUGUCUUUUCAUCCGAGUGAAUAAUACACCGGGGAUCUUGCCAGCAAGGUUGAACCUCUAUGCUCAGCGACGGACGCAACGGCGUGCAGCAAUGGUCUUCCCUGCUACAUUAAUUAUUUUGUAAAUCAACACAAACCCCUAAAACUGAAACAAUACAGAACAUGACCUUGAAAUAAAUUUUCAUUAUCAGAUUUUCCCAAUCUAAUUCCCUUUAUUUCAGGUUUUCCUGGCCGAUAUCAGCAAAACAUUUUUAUUUUUUUAUUUGAUUUUGUGGAAAUUCAGAUCUCUUGUUGUUCACGUAAUAUCAGAUUUUGUUAUGUAACAUCGUUUGGGUUCUUCUCCAAAUUUCUGUUUAUUGGCGUAGACAUAUACAAGACUAACUUCCUUUAAUCUUUAAUUCUAACGGCAUCUGCUGUCGGCUGCCUCUUUCCAGUUUAUGUCAUCAAGGCCCGUGCAUGGGAUGUUUCCUUUUUUUACGGCAACCUUAAGUUUUCAGUUCGCACUUGACACGGCUUAAAGAGUAUAUCUUGCAAUCUAAGCCGCUGUGUACAAUAAUGUUCUUAUGGCGAUGGUCUUGCUGAGAAUUAUUGUCUCAUUUUGAAUCAAUCUGCAGUGUCAUCUUUUGCUACUUAGGCCCUAUUACUGUUUAAAUUCGAGUGUCUCAAAUCGAGUAGAUAAUUCUAAAGACUCUUGUACUUAUUCAGAUGAACGAUAGUUUGAAUUCGAAUGAGCUCAAAAAGUGAAUCAAAUUUUUUUGAUGUUUGGUUGCCAGGGAGUAUUCACAGUUAAAUGAAUUCCAAUGGCUAGCCGUUUGCGCUAAAGAUGACGAUAAUAUGAUAAAUA